rnacentral:tRNA from 1 species
ACACCAGUGGUGAAACGGUUAUCAUGCCUGCCUUCCAAGCAGGCGGCGGGGGUUCGACUCCCUCCUGGUGUA